GCCGGCCUAGCUCAAUUGGUAGAGCAACUGACUUGUAAUCAGUAGGUAGGGGGUUCAAGUCCUCUGGCCGGCACCA
rnacentral:tRNA from 1 species